rnacentral:lncRNA from 1 species
UCCAUGGCAGCAGCGCGGGCCAGAGCGCAGCGCGGAGCGCGGCCCGGGCGCCAUCGAGCCUUGGCGGCGGACGUGCAGAGAAUCUCGAUGCUGGCCUGGAGCAGAAACUGAGCUGGACCACUGGAGCCUCGGUGAGGGGUCUGCACCCCACCUGGGAAAGGCAGUGGGUGGCUGGGGCUAUGUGGACAGGGAGGCCGGAGGUAUCUAGAACUGCCAUGUGGUGUCUGCAAGGCUCUGUCCAG